CUUUAGGGGUCGAAUUUGAAAAUGAAAUAUUUGAGCGGUAAAAAUUCAAAAGAGGAUCCUCUGCACGUCCAUGUCCAUUUUUUCAAAAAUUGAAUACAAACUCCUGGAACUCCGCGACUAAAUUAUUAUCAAAUCUCUCAUUUUGUCCUCUUCACACUCUUCACUUGGUUGACUCUCUCUUCCGCCAUUGCAAUGGGUUGUGUUUCAUCCACUCUGCUCAAUCAAGACAAUGAAUUCACCCAAAUGGGUGGUUCUUCUGCCGGUUUCAGCCAUCAUUUUGUCUCUCUCACUUCAACAACUUAUGGUCUUUUGACCCUCGAUCCACCUUCUACUCCCCCACCAACCACCACUCUCCCUCCUACGCCUACCCCACCACCUCGCCACACUCUUGGUUCACUUUUCCCAACCCCCUUGUCGGAACCCAGAAUCCUCAAGUCCGACAUCAUCAACUCUUGGGAACUUAUGGCUGGUCUUGAUUCCACCUCCACAACACCCAUCAGUGACAGCUUUCGAUUUCCCUCUUUACGCAAAUCGACCCCUGAUUCUAGCUUCAGAUUCUUGAAAUCAUCCCCCGAUAAAGAGAAUUCAAGCCCAAAUAUUCCAUCUUUUACCGAUGUGCUUGAUAAAGCCGACAUUUUUAAGCCCACGAGAUUGUCUUCUGCUUCCGUGCUUGAUAGGUUUGAAAAGCUUUGUCCUCCAAAUGGUGAGGAUAAAAUAGUGAUCUACACAACGACGUUGAGGGGUGUGAGGAAGACCUUUGAGGCUUGUAAUACUGUGAGAUCAGCGAUUGAAGGGCUUGGGGUUCUGUUUUCUGAGAGGGAUAUUUCGAUGGAUAGGGGUUUCAGGGAAGAAUUGAAGGAGCUGAUGAAGGGUAAAGAGAGCACUCAUGAGUUAAUACCUCCAAGGGUGUUCUUUAAAGGAAGGUACAUUGGAGGGGCUGAGGAGGUGAUGAGGAUUGUGGAGGAAGGAAAUUUUGGAGAUUUGCUUCAAGGAUUACCUAAGGUGAAAGCUGGUUCUGUUUGUGAGGGUUGUGGGGGAAUCAGGUUCAUGCCUUGUUUUACAUGUAAUGGUAGCUGCAAGAUGGUGAUGGUGGUCAAAGAAGAUGUGGAACAGAACGAAGGCAGAGCUGUCGUGGUGCGGUGUAGUGAGUGUAAUGAAAAUGGAUUGGUGCUUUGCCCCAUUUGCUGCUGAGUAAUGGCAGGAGAUGUGACUGUGAGGACCUAGCUUGGACAGUUCUUUGAGUUCUCUUCAUCUUCUCAUCUAAGCGUUGCAAUUUCAGUUGCAACUACUAUUGGGACUGUGUUGGCUUUUUGGAUGAUUCCAAUGUAAUCACUUGGUCAAGAUGGCUGGAAGAUAGCUUCUGCUCUUAUGGGAAGACACAUAGGUGGAGGCAAAUUCAUAGACUCUUGGUUGCUCUCUGGUCUUGUACAAUCUUUAUUUAGAAUCGUCCUUUUACAUCUGUAUUUUCCAUUUAUCCUUAUGCAAGCUUUUUUUUGCUAACUUGAUCUUGGAGUUCUUGUAAAGCCAAAGUGUUUGAAAAAACAACCAGUUGGCUUAUCAUUGCUUUAUGAUCUGUUAAUGGUUGGUAUGAAUGUAAGUUUCAAAUUCUCUUUUAUAAGAAAUAUCAAUACAGCAUCCUACUUUGUAAUUGGAGGUUCUAA